GGGUUGUGAGGUUAAGCGACUAAGCGUACACGGUGGAUGCCCCGCAGUCAGAGGCGAUGAAGGACGUGCUAAUCUGCGAAAAGCGUCGGUAAGGUGAUAUGAACCGUUACAGCCGGCGAUGUCCGAAUGGGGAAACCCAGUGCAAUUCGUUGCACUAUCGUUAACUGAAUACAUAGGUUAACGAGGCGAACCGGGGGAACUGAAACAUCUAAGUACCCCGAGGAAAAGAAAUCAACCGAGAUUCCCCCAGUAGCGGCGAGCGAACGGGGAGCAGCCCAGAGUCUGAAUCAGCUUGUGUGUUAGUGGAACGGUCUGGAAAGUCCGACGGUACAGGGUGAUAGUCCCGUACACCAAAAUGCACAGGCUGUGAACUCGAAGAGUAGGGCGGGACACGUGGUAUCCUGUCUGAAUAUGGGGGGACCAUCCUCCAAGGCUAAAUACUCCUGACUGACCGAUAGUGAACCAGUACCGUGAGGGAAAGGCGAAAAGAACCCCGGCGAGGGGAGUGAAAAAGAACCUGAAACCGUGUACGUACAAGCAGUGGGAGCACCUUCGGGUGUGACUGCGUACCUUUUGUAUAAUGGGUCAGCGACUUAUAUUCUGUAGCAAGGUUAACCGUAUAGGGGAGCCGCAGGGAAACCGAGUCUUAACUGGGCGUUAAGUUGCAGGGUAUAGACCCGAAACCCGGUGAUCUAGCCAUGGGCAGGUUGAAGGUUGGGUAACACUAACUGGAGGACCGAACCGACUAAUGUUGAAAAAUUAGCGGAUGACUUGUGGCUGGGGGUGAAAGGCCAAUCAAACCGGGAGAUAGCUGGUUCUCCCCGAAAGCUAUUUAGGUAGCGCCUCGUGAACUCAUCUUCGGGGGUAGAGCACUGUUUCGGCUAGGGGGUCAUCCCGACUUACCAACCCGAUGCAAACUACGAAUACCGAAGAAUGUUAUCACGGGAGACACACGGCGGGUGCUAACGUCCGUCGUGAAGAGGGAAACAACCCAGACCGCCAGCUAAGGUCCCAAAGUCAUGGUUAAGUGGGAAACGAUGUGGGAAGGCACAGACAGCCAGGAUGUUGGCUUAGAAGCAGCCAUCAUUUAAAGAAAGCGUAAUAGCUCACUGGUCGAGUCGGCCUGCGCGGAAGAUGUAACGGGGCUAAACCAUGCACCGAAGCUGCGGCAGCGACACUAUGUGUUGUUGGGUAGGGGAGCGUUCUGUAAGCCUGCGAAGGUGACCUGUGAGGGUUGCUGGAGGUAUCAGAAGUGCGAAUGCUGACAUAAGUAACGAUAAAGCGGGUGAAAAGCCCGCUCGCCGGAAGACCAAGGGUUCCUGUCCAACGUUAAUCGGGGCAGGGUGAGUCGACCCCUAAGGCGAGGCCGAAAGGCGUAGUCGAUGGGAAACAGGUUAAUAUUCCUGUACUUGGUGUUACUGCGAAGGGGGGACGGAGAAGGCUAUGUUAGCCGGGCGACGGUUGUCCCGGUUUAAGCAUGUAGGCUGAUUAUCCAGGCAAAUCCGGAUAAUCAAGGCUGAGGUGUGAUGACGAGGCACUACGGUGCUGAAGUAACAAAUGCCCUGCUUCCGUGAAAAGCCUCUAAGCAUCAGGUAACAUCAAAUCGUACCCCAAACCGACACAGGUGGUCAGGUAGAGAAUACCAAGGCGCUUGAGAGAACUCGGGUGAAGGAACUAGGCAAAAUGGUGCCGUAACUUCGGGAGAAGGCACGCUGGUGUGUAGGUGAAGUCCCUGCGGAUGGAGCUGAGACCAGUCGAAGAUACCAGCUGGCUGCAACUGUUUAUUAAAAACACAGCACUGUGCAAACACGAAAGUGGACGUAUACGGUGUGACGCCUGCCCGGUGCCGGAAGGUUAAUUGAUGGGGUUAUCCGUAAGGAGAAGCUCUUGAUCGAAGCCCGGUAAACGGCGGCCGUAACUAUAACGGUCCUAAGGUAGCGAAAUUCCUUGUCGGGUAAGUUCCGACCUGCACGAAUGGCGUAAUGAUGGCCAGGCUGUCUCCACCCGAGACUCAGUGAAAUUGAACUCGCUGUGAAGAUGCAGUGUACCCGCGGCAAGACGGAAAGACCCCGUGAACCUUUACUAUAGCUUGACACUGAACAUUGAGCCUUGAUGUGUAGGAUAGGUGGGAGGCUUUGAAGCGUGGACGCCAGUCUGCGUGGAGCCAACCUUGAAAUACCACCCUUUAAUGUUUGAUGUUCUAACGUUGGCCCCUUACCGGGGUUGCGGACAGUGUCUGGUGGGUAGUUUGACUGGGGCGGUCUCCUCCCAAAGCGUAACGGAGGAGCACGAAGGUUAGCUAAUCCUGGUCGGACAUCAGGAGGUUAGUGCAAUGGCAUAAGCUAGCUUGACUGCGAGCGUGACGGCGCGAGCAGGUGCGAAAGCAGGUCAUAGUGAUCCGGUGGUUCUGAAUGGAAGGGCCAUCGCUCAACGGAUAAAAGGUACUCCGGGGAUAACAGGCUGAUACCGCCCAAGAGUUCAUAUCGACGGCGGUGUUUGGCACCUCGAUGUCGGCUCAUCACAUCCUGGGGCUGAAGUAGGUCCCAAGGGUAUGGCUGUUCGCCAUUUAAAGUGGUACGCGAGCUGGGUUUAGAACGUCGUGAGACAGUUCGGUCCCUAUCUGCCGUGGGCGCUGGAGAAUUGAGGGGCUGCUCCUAGUACGAGAGGACCGGAGGACGCAUCACUGGUGUUCGGGUUGUCAUGCCAAUGGCACUGCCCGGUAGCUAAAUGCGGAAGAGAUAAGUGCUGAAAGCAUCUAAGCACGAAACUUGCCCCGAGAUGAGUUCUCCCCUGAGACUUUAAGUCUCCUGAAGGAACGUUAAAGACGAUGACGUUGAUAGGCCGGGUGUGUAAGCGCAGCGAUGCGUUGAGCUAACCGGUACUAAUGAACCGUGAGGCUUAACCUUACAACGCCGAAG
rnacentral:rRNA from 1 species